rnacentral:lncRNA from 1 species
UGCUGGACCAAUUUCAAAAACUAAAAACUAAGGUUUUAAAUAUUUUGCAAUAUUCCAUAUAUAAUGAUUGAUAUAAAUAAGUAAAAUUAACAUUAUCACUUUUUUCUGUUCAAAAAAAGAAAGAAAAUAAGCACAAGAAGGAACCAUCAGAGACCAAAGUUUAUCCCCAGAAGCUUUAAGCUAUUGUACGGUCCGCAUCAUGGUUUGAACUUUCUCGACAAAGAAAGAUCCAUCACUUGGUUCCUCGUAGUUGUGAAAUCUCUUCAAUUAUAAAAUUACAUUAAAACUGAAAUAAUUCCAAAGCUGAAAAAUGAAUUGAAAAAUGAAAAUAAAAACUAGAAAUUGAAAACAUUUUUUUAUUCCAGAAUUAAAAGAUUUCAAAGCAGUAAAUAAAAAUAUCUUUUAGAAACAAUAAAUCAAAAAUUGUAAAAUAAAACAGGAAAACAUUUUUACUGCGAUUUCGAAGCAGAAAAAUUCUCGAAUCUGAGUAAAAUAAUUCGGAAAAAAAAAAAGUGAAACUAAAUUGAAAGAGCUCAGAAAUUGAAUGGGUACAUAAAAUUAUCAUCAACCUGAUAAUAGUCAGAGUGGUGCAUGACAAUUUCUCAUCACAGCUCUUCAUAAGCUUCAAUAUAAAUGAAAAUCAAAACCCUAAUUUGUACUAACACUAAUGAACAUAUACCUUGGGUGCGCAUAUGGAGGGGUG